rnacentral:sRNA from 1 species
GCCUGGCUUAUUUUUGACACGGCUGUACACACCCUAGGUACGUAUACAAUUUGACUACCUACAAAGGUAGAUAUGCGAACUCGACUACGGAGUAUUCAGGUCUGCAUAGGGUUGGUGCCUGCAUGCUGCCUUCAACCUGUUAUUGGCACAUGAGGUGUGGUUCCUUGGCUUUGUAACCUUGUUGUCGGAACUGAAUAAAGUCCGAAUAUUGACCCAAAUACUGAAUAUCAGAUAAAUUGAAUUGAUUAUUCUAACUCCAAUAAUUAAUUACAUGAUAAUCAGGCAGUAUUUAUAAGAAAA